UACGGAGGGGGCUAGCGUUGUUCGGAAUUACUGGGCGUAAAGCGCGCGUAGGCGGCUUUGUAAGUUAGAGGUGAAAGCCCGGAGCUCAACUCCGGAAUUGCCUUUAAGACUGCAUCGCUUGAAUCAUGGAGAGGUGAGUGGAAUUCCGAGUGUAGAGGUGAAAUUCGUAGAUAUUCGGAAGAACACCAGUGGCGAAGGCGACUCACUGGACAUGUAUUGACGCUGAGGCGCGAAAGCGUGGGGAGCAAACAGG
rnacentral:rRNA from 1 species